GCAGCGGCUUUCCCAUCGCGCUCACACUCGGCUGAGCCGGCCCCAGCUGUUACAUCCCGGCUGUUUAAACAAGAGUUGCCAGUAGUUGAACGUUGCUGCUGAAGCGAGACAGUGUGCUCCCCGUGUAUGUCAGCCCCGCAGGAACAAUCUAAAGACAAGGCCGGGCCUCUCUGGCCAGCGUGUAAGCAGCUGGGAUGGAGCCGCUGCCCUGAGAGAGAGGGAGACGGCCCAAAGGCUUCUGGCUCACAAGACUCGGAUUCCAGUCCAGGUUCUUUUACUUUCUGGUGCACCAGGUCUCCGCUUCCUCAUUUGAAAAUGGGAGUGAUAAUACUUGGGCGAGCUCUCCCUCAAUGGGAUGUUGGGAGGAAGAUGCUUUGAUGUCCCCAUCAGAGAUCUAUCCCUCAUAACAAAGAAGAAAAAAGAAAAGAAAAAAAGUCUCAGCAAAACUAGUCAACAUAUUACACAACUCCAAUAUUAUAUAUGCAGUAUUACACAGUCUCUCAUCUCUGCAAAGAAGGAAAGGAGGUGCAUUUUGAAAUUUCGUCUUUGGGGCCAAGAUUGGUCAUUAUAAUUUCAUAGCAUGCAUAACUUGUUCUUAAUAAACCCAUGAUGUUCACUAUAA